rnacentral:rRNA from 1 species
ACUCCUACGGGAGGCAGCAGUAAGGAAUAUUGGUCAAUGGAGGGAACUCUGAACCAGCCAUGCCGCGUGCAGGAUGACUGCCCUAUGGGUUGUAAACUGCUUUUGUCAGGGAAUAAACCUUUCCACGUGUGGGGAGCUGAAUGUACCUGAAGAAUAAGGAUCGGCUAACUCCGUGCCAGCAGCCGCGGUAAU